AUAGGCCUACACAAGUUGAGACUUGACAUGAGAUUCGAGCCUAGCCACCGCUCACGUUCAAAUUGAUAAAUGCCAUGCUUUGCGUGGAAAUGAGCGUACGCCCCGCCUGUUUUAUGUUGUACGCAUGUUUCAUAAAUGA